rnacentral:rRNA from 1 species
UACGGAGGGUGCGAGCGUUGUCCGGAAUCACUGGGCGUAAAGGGCGCGUAGGCGGCGCGGAUAGUCGGCGGUGAAAGCCCGGAGCUCAACUCCGGGUCGGCCGUCGAUACUUCCGGGCUUGAGCACUGUAGAGGCAGAUGGAAUUCCGGGUGUAGCGGUGGAAUGCGUAGAGAUCCGGAAGAACACCGGUGGCGAAGGCGGUCUGCUGGGCAGUUGCUGACGCUGAUGCGCGACAGCGUGGGGAGCAAACGAGGG